UUUUCCAGUGUCACAUUUUAUUGACAAUUCGCAAGGUACAGCAUUUCAGUGGCAGCAAUCUGCCAAAUAUUCCCGCAGUCCUGGCAGUCCUGGCUGAGGCAAACACGGGUUAUUUUAUUCUAGUCUUAAUUACUCUCACGAUACACUACAUAUCACACAGUAAAUCUCUCUCUCUCUGUAUAUGUCUACGUGCAGAUUAUGGAAUGGCUGUAAAGGGUUAAAGAUGCAAGGAGUUUGAGUUUCCAACAGGCCAGUUGGGAAACUCAGGCCACUAGUCUCUGAUAACGGCCUAAGGGGACUGGAGAACUUGGAGAAGCUGUGGCCGUAAGUCAAGACCCUGGGUUGUAGGUUUGAGAAUGAAGCGGCAAAGCUGAGUCCAGCUUGGUGCAGAGGCAAAGGGUAAGACUGGGUCCAGGCAACAGAGGUGGGAGAACAAGAGGCGGGCAGAUGGCAUCUACCACGAUGAUGGCUGCAUUGACAGUGCACCCAGGCAACUAGAAGCCUCUGGGAGAGUCAGUUCUCUGCCUGUUAGUCAGUUCUUGAUGCAUGCGGGGCAGUGAGGAGACAGGUCAGUGGGGACUGUCACCAACCAACUGCUAGAUGUGUACUUCUCUGUGGGGUUCACAUGUAGGUAGGAGCUCCAUACUUUCCUUGGCCUGAUGGGCUUGAUUUUCCUGAUAUAUUAAUAUGCUCAUAUCCCCACAGUCCCAACCCACCAUGAUACAUUACAAUACCCUUUGAAUUUCCGGAUGGUCGUUUAGUAGUGUGUGCCAUGAGGAUGGCCUGGAACAGGCGGCAUACCUUCCAUCCUCAGUAGAGUACCAAGCUGCUUAUGCUGGAAAAGGCUUGGGGGAGUCAGUGUGGAAAGCCACUGUCCUGUACAAUAUGGAGUAACUUAGGGCAAGGCACAGCCUGACCUCAACAGGCAUGUGCACCUUCCCAGGGCCUCCUGUGAAAGGCUUGCUUAAUGGAGAGCUGCCCCAUCUCUUCUGCUCCUUGGUUUUGGCCAUCAGUGAGCCACUCCCCUGUCUCCUUCCUUCCCCUCUCCUGCCUUCUAAGAUACCUCUCAGGACCUCAGACUUAGGUCUCCAAACCCUCUCAGCAGCUUUAGGCCUUGGCACCUCCCGGGCAGCCUCCAUUCUGCGUCUUGUAAUAUGAACAGCAGGUAAAUCCCCGGUGGGCAACAGAUGUUGGUGGGCAACAACAGGCCCUCGGUACUCCAGGGAGACCAGGCUACCCAGACCCAGAGAUGGACUCUGGACAGAUCAAGCCUCACAGAGAACAGGAGAGCACAUGGGCAGAAUAAAGGGAGGAGGGCCAGGAAGGUGGGGGCGAGGAUGAGAGUGAUCUUAGCAAGUCCUAGUAAGCUGGGAAGCACAUGACCACACCUCCUUCACCACUGCAACCUCAUUCUUUCUCUGGUUGGGCAACAGCAGAAGAGCAUAGGAAAAAGCUGAUUCCAAGGACUCUCCAAUCCCAAAUCUCUGCUCUUGUAUUGCUUUUUCUUGUUUUUGUUUUUCAAGACAGGGUUUCUCCGUAUAGCUCUAGCUAUCCUGGAACUCACUGAACUCAGCCGGGUGAAUAUUGGAAUUAAAGGUGUGCACUACCAUACCCGGUUUUGUUUGUUUGAGACAGGAUCUUGUUAUGUAGCCUAGGGUGCCUCUUGAGUGCCAGGACCAUAGGCAUACACCAUGGUACUGGCUAGUUUCUGUUUUUGGUAGCAGUCAGAACCUGCUGCUGGAAGUCUCUUCACACUACAGGAGUAGGACAGCAGGAAAGCCCUCAGGGACUGUGUGCAAAACAGCUGAAGGAUACUCAUCCCUGGGCUAAGGGUUUCUUUUCUUUUCUUUUUUUUUUUUAAUUUAAAAGUUGUAUUUAUUCAUGUAGGAAUGUGUGUGCACAUACACUCAUGCAUGCAUACCAACACAUACAUGUGAAGAACAGCUGUAAGAGUCACACUUCUGCUUCCAUGCGGGUUUCCAGGAAUGGAACUCAGUUUAUCAGGCUUGGCUGGUGGGGAGUGUCUUAACGCACUAAGCCAGAAUCGUACCAGCUCCCCUGGGCUAGCCCUGGAUGCUACACAAUCCCACAUGAGCUGAUGCUUUUUCUUUCUUUCUUUUUUUUUUUCUUUUCUUUUUUU
ensembl:lncRNA